UACGUAGGGUGCAAGCGUUAUCCGGAAUGAUUGGGCGUAAAGCGUCUGUAGGUGGCUUUUUAAGUCCGCCGUCAAAUCCCAGGGCUCAACCCUGGACAGGCGGUGGAAACUACCAAGCUGGAGUACGGUAGGGGCAGAGGGAAUUUCCGGUGGAGCGGUGAAAUGCGUAGAUAUUGGAAAGACCACCGAUGGCGAAGGCACUCUACUGGGCCAUUACUGACACUGAGAGACGAAAGCUAGGGGGAGCAAAUGGG
rnacentral:rRNA from 1 species